UUAGGGUUAAGGUUCAACUUUAUUUGCGUCUAAAAGGAGCAACGGUUUCACCCGAACAGUCGUCAAUGUGAACACGUGUGCAAUAUUUUAUAUUUCCCAGAGAUGUCGUGUGAUAUGUUUAGGGGUAAUGUCGUGUGAUAUGUUUAGGGGUAAUGUCGUGUGAUAUGUUUAGGGGUAAUGUCGUGUGAUAUGUUUAGGGGUAAUGUCGUGUGAUAUGUUUAGGGGUAAUGUCGUGUGAUAUGUUUAGGGGUAAUGUCGUGUGAUAUGUUUAGGGGUAAUGUCGUGUGAUAUGUUUAGGGGUAAUGUCGUGUGAUAUGUUUAGAGGUAAUGUCGUGUGAUAUGUUUAGGGGUAAUGUCGUGUGAUAUGUUUAGGGGUAAUGUCGUGUGAUAUGUUUAGAGGUGAUGUCGUGUGAUAUGUUUAGGGGUAAUGUCGUGUGAUAUGUUUAGGGGUAAUGUCGUGUGAUAUGUUUAGAGGUGAUGUCGUGUGAUAUGUUUAGGGGUAAUGUCGUGUGAUAUGUUUAGGGGUAAUGUCGUGUGAUAUGUUUAGAGGUGAUGUCGUGUGAUAUGUUUAGGGGUAAUGUCGUGUGAUAUGUUUAGGGGUAAUGUCGUGUGAUAUGUUUAAGGGUAAUGUCGUGUGAUAUGUUUAGAGGUGAUGUCGUGUGAUAUGUUUAGGGGUAAUGUCGUGUGAUAUGUUUAGAGGUGAUGUCGUGUGAUAUGUUUAGGGGUAAUUUCAUGUGAUAUGUUUAGGGAUAAUGUCGUGUGAUAUGUUUAGGGUUGAUGUCGUGUGAUAUAUUUAAGGGUAAUAUCGUGUGAUAUGUUUAGGGGUAAUGUCGUGUGAUAUGUUUAGGGGUAAUGUCGUGUGAUAUGUUUAAGGGUAAUGUCGUGUGAUAUGUUUAGGGGUAAUGUCGUGUGAUAUGUUUAGAGGUGAUGUCGUGUGAUAUGUUUAGGGGUAAUGUCGUGUGAUAUGUUUAGGGGUAAUGUCGUGUGAUAUGUUUAGAGGUGAUGUCGUGUGAUAUGUUUAGGGGUAAUGUCGUGUGAUAUGUUUAGGGGUAAUGUCGUGUGAUAUGUUUAGAGGUGAUGUCGUGUGAUAUGUUUAGGGGUAAUGUCGUGUGAUAUGUUUAGGGGUAAUGUCGUGUGAUAUGUUUAGAGGUGAUGUCGUGUGAUAUGUUUAGGGGUAAUGUCGUGUGAUAUGUUUAGGGGUAAUGUCGUGUGAUAUGUUUAGGGGUAAUGUCGUGUGAUAUGUUUCUUGGUAAUGUCGUGUGAUAUGUUUCUUGGUAAUGUCGUGUGAUAUGUUUCUUGGUAAUGUCGUGUGAUAUGUUUCUUGGUAAUGUCGUGUGAUAUGUUUCUUGGUAAUGUCGUGUGAUAUGUUUCUUGGUAAUGUCGUGUGAUAUGUUUCUUGGUAAUGUCGUGUGAUAUGUUUCUUGGUGAUGUCGUGUGAUAUGUUUCUUGGUAAUGUCGUGUGAUAUGUUUCUUGGUGAUGUCGUGUGAUAUGUUUCUUGGUAAUGUCGUGUGAUAUGUUUCUUGGUAAUGUCGUGUGAUAUGUUUCUUGGUAAUGUCGUGUGAUAUGUUUCUUGUUAAUGUCGUGUGAUAUGUUUCUUGGUAAUGUCGUGUGAUAUGUUUCUUGGUGAUGUCGUGUGAUAUGUUUCUUGGUAAUGUCGUGUGAUAUGUUUCUUGGUAAUGUCGUGUGAUAUGUUUCUUGGUAAUGUCGUGUGAUAUGUUUCUUGGUAAUGUCGUGUGAUAUGUUUCUUGUUAAUGUCGUGUGAUAUGUUUCUUGGUAAUGUCGUGUGAUAUGUUUCUUGGUAAUGUCGUGUGAUAUGUUUCUUGGUAAUGUCGUGUGAUAUGUUUCUUGGUAAUGUCGUGUGAUAUGUUUCUUGUUAAUGUCGUGUGAUAUGUUUCUUGGUAAUGUCGUGUGAUAUGUUUCUUGUUAAUGUCGUGUGAUAUGUUUCUUGUUAAUGUCGUGUGAUAUGUUUCUGGGUAAUGUCGUGUGAUAUGUUUCUUGUUAAUGUCGUGUGAUAUGUUUCUUGUUAAUGUCGUGUGAUAUGUUUCUUGGUAAUGUCGUGUGAUAUGUUUCUUGUUAAUGUCGUGUGAUAUGUUUCUUGGUAAUGUCGUGUGAUAUGUUUCUUGGUAAUGUCGUGUGAUAUGUUUCUUGGUAAUGUCGUGUGAUAUGUUUCUUGGUAAUGUCGUGUGAUAUGUUUCUGGGUAAUGUCGUGUGAU